UCAAAAUGGCAAUUGCUGAAGUCACUUAUGCUGUCUGGAUGGAGAGGAAUUCGAGAAUUUUUAACAACACUUUUCGUAACUGUGUAGUCUUAGUGAGGGAGAUAGCAUACAUCUAUAAUGUUAGAGGUAUCCCUAGAAUUCGGAAAGUAUUGCAGCAAUUUAGCAUUUAGUAUCAUUAGGACAUAAUGUUGAGUCUAUGUAGUGAGGUUGAUGAUUUAGAGAUAGUCAGCUGAGUAUAAGCUAGACUAUGGAUUUGUAAACCAUAUACAUUGGUGAUUAAUA
rnacentral:lncRNA from 1 species